AGUGAACGCUGGCGGCGUGCCUAAUACAUGCAAGUCGAACGGAGUGGCGCACGGGUGAGUAAUAUAUAGCUAAUCUGCCCCUUGCUGGAGGACAACAGUUAGAAAUGCUUGCUAAUACUCCAUAGCAAGGGAUGAGACUAUAACGUAUCAGCUAGUCGGUGGGGUAAUGGCCUACCGAGGCUAUGAACGGUAACUGGUCUGCGCGGAUGAUCAGUCACAUUGGAACUGAGACACCGUCCAAACACCUACGGGAGGCGGCAGUAGUGAAGAUUGCGCAAUGGGGGAAACCCUGACGCAGCAACGCCGCGUGGAGGAUUACACUUUUCGGAGCGUAAACUCCUUUUGUUAGGGAAGCGGUACCUAACGAAUAAGCACCGGCUAACUCCGUGCCAGCAGCCGCGGUAAUUC
rnacentral:rRNA from 1 species